rnacentral:lncRNA from 10 species
CUCAGUUCCAGGCUUCUGUGGGUACCAGCGGCCUGUCAAAACGCCAGGAAAGGUCCUCAGGAAAACAAGACAGAAAGCAUAGAACUCGUUUGCUGCCCAGCACGCGGGGUGAGCAGAGUGUCAUGAUGAGGCAGUACGGAGGGAACAAGGACGGUCACAGAGACUGGAAACCCAACGGGCAGCUGAUCCAGGACCGUCCACUUCCAAGCCAGCAGGAGGAUGGAAAAGCAGAAUGGAGGGGAAACAACCUCCUUUGCAGGGCGUGACUCGGAAGUUGGACACAUCAUUUCCAGCCACAUUCCAUGGACCAGAAUUAGCCCUGUGACCAACUCUGGCUGCCAGAAAAUCUGGGAAAUACAGUCUCUGCUUGGGCGAUCAGGCAGGCAGUUAUAUCUUUGGGAACAUCUCUCACCCCCUGGGAACACCUGAGCAGAAACUGAAGGACAUUUAACAGAUUCUCCUUUGUGUCUAAUAAGAAUUGCCCCCAUCAGUCGGGGCUGUCCUAGGUGCUGGGUACAUAGGUCAUCUAUACACAACCCAGCAAUGGAGAGCACACCAUUCCCAGGCUGCAGAUGCAGAAACUGUGGCUCGGAGAGUUAAGCGUCUUGUUCAGAUUCAGUCAGCUGGUAGAUGGCAGGUCUGGGAUUGAGACCCAGGCCUGGCUGGUCCUGCCAGGACACAGUAUCACAGCUUUGACUGGGAGCUUCUUUUUGUUUACAUAUAUUUUUUAUGCUCAAUGUGCAUUCCUUUUGAAAUACACAGAAAAGGGAAAGAAGCCGG